UACAGAGGUCCCAAGCGUUGUUCGGAUUCAUUGGGCGUAAAGGGUGCGUAGGUGGCGCCGUAAGUGGGGUGUGAAAUCCCGGGGCUUAACCCCGGGACUGCAUUCCAUACUGCGGUGCUUGAGGACUGGAGAGGAGACUGGAAUUUACGGUGUAGCAGUGAAAUGCGUAGAGAUCGUAAGGAAGACCAGUGGCGAAGGCGGGUCUCUGGACAGUUCCUGACACUGAGGCACGAAGGCCAAGGGAGCAAACGGG
rnacentral:rRNA from 1 species